AAAAAAUGUAGUCUUUGCAAACAACCGGGACAUACUCGACCUCGUUGUCCAUCUAGACACAAUAGAUAGCAACUAAUUGGUUUGUACACCAUGGAUCCUGGGCCGGUUAGUGAUGAGGUCUUAUAUGACCAGGCUCAGCAUCGUUCACAUAUUAUAUCCUGUACAGAGAGAGGUCCGAGUAUCGUUAUGGUUGAUCA